CAUAAUCUUUACCAGGACUGCAGAAGCAGCUUGGGCGAUAAUGCUUUAAGUGUUGUCAGUGGCGCCUGUUUGUGGAAUUUGUGACAUCCUUCAAGUUGUUUUUUUUAUAGAGUUGGUCCCAAUACAGUAAAGAGAGAAUUUGGAUGGGAAGAGCUGUGUUUCUUUUGAUCUUAGGUGGGGGGGAGGAGGUCCAAAGGUGUUUUAACAGAAAGCUCC